rnacentral:rRNA from 1 species
GAUGAACGCUGGCGGCGUGCCUAAUACAUGCAAGUCGAGCGAACAGACGAGGAGCUCGCUCCUCUGAUGUUAGCGGCGGACGGGUGAGUAACACGUGGAUAACCUACCUAUAAGACUGGGAUAACUUCGGGAAACCGGAGCUAAUACCGGAUAACAUGUUGAACCGCAUGGUUCAACAGUGAAAGACGGUCUUGCUGUCACUUAUAGAUGGAUCCGCGCCGCAUUAGCUAGUUGGUAAGGUAACGGCUUACCAAGGCAACGAUGCGUAGCCGACCUGAGAGGGUGAUCGGCCACACUGGAACUGAGACACGGUCCAGACUCCUACGGGAGGCAGCAGUAGGGAAUCUUCCGCAAUGGGCGAAAGCCUGACGGAGCAACGCCGCGUGAGUGAAGAAGGUCUUCGGAUCGUAAAACUCUGUUAUUAGGGAAGAACAAAUGUGUAAGUAACUAUGCACGUCUUGACGGUACCUAAUCAGAAAGCCACGGCUAACUACGUG